GCACGUGGUGGUUGGCCGUGGGCUGUAGUCUUUGCGGUGUGUUCGAGUGCCACUUUUUGGCCAAUUCAAAAGGCGUCGUGGGAACCUCGACUCGUUCAGUGCCUUCAAGUUUUAAAAAUCUUAUGAAAAAGCUAGAGGCUCAAACCAAGCCACAUGUCUACAUUCAGGGAAAGGUAGCAAAAACCUGGAAUAUAGUUUUUGAAAAGGAGGAGGUACACCUGGUCUACUCAACAUUUGCCCAUCAAGAGUCCUCAUUUGAAUAACCCACACCUUCGUCUACCUUUGGCAUACAUUUAGUAAAUGGCCUCUUGGAUAUGACACAGCUCUGCAAUAUUGGACUUGUUUUGUUGCUGUGCCCCUGAUACAUAUUAACUGACCAAUUAAACCCUAUCCAAUGCCACACCUGGACCACCCGCCCCCUGCCCACCACACCAUCUCUCAGCCUCUUCCUUGUCCAACAUCUUACAUGUGUAAUUAUGUCUGUCUGUCUCCCUUAUGGCUGCCUCUCCAGACACCAAAGCCUCAUCCUCUGAUCUGAGCCUGUCCCUUUAAAUGUCAACACACGACGCGCUCUGGGAGGAGCAGGGGAGUGAUGACAGUGAGAGAGAACAUUUACAGUCUAUGGAGAGAACACAGCGGGGCGGAGGACGUGUGUGAGGAACUAUGUGAAUUCACAGGCCCGACCAACGCCCUCCAACAGCUGCCAUAGUCACACACGUUUAUAGUUACAUAAACUAUAUUUAGAGAAGCUGUCACAUCAUUUUCAUAAAAGUAAGAAUCAUUUCUUCAUUUCAGUAUGGGGAUUUUCAGUCAUUUGUCUGUCCAUAUAAAGGGGAAGGAAACUGGUGUGGCUCUUAUUUUCAAACACAGUAAUAAAGAACACAGUUAUCUGCUGACAGGAGUACCAGCUAUGAGUUUAUCUGCUGCAGCGAGUGGAUUUGUUGUCUUCCUUCUCGUUGUACAAGUGGUUCAGAGUCAGAAUGACAUGAGAGUGACUUACAG